UAAAAAAACUUAAAUCAAACCCAUCAACACAACCCAUAACCAACUUACUUAUCUCUUUCCCUUUCUCUCUCUUAAAAAAUUGUCUCUGAUUCUUGAGUUUUUUUUUUUUUUUUUUUUUUCAAAUUCUUGCAGUGCCGGUUUUCGCACUGUUCGAUUUAACAUUUUUAUCCCCUUGAUUCUUUUCUGCAUGUCUUUGUAUCUAAAUUUUAAUCUGAGAAUUUAAUUUUCUUUUUUUUGUUGUCGUUGAAUUUUCACAAAUACCCAAAAAGAAAAAACCCUAAAAAUGUGAAAAUAAAAAACCUGGAAACUAGUACAGUUGCAGAUCUGAAAGACAGGAAACCCUUGUUUUUGCAAAAAAUCAGUGGGUACUGAAAUAUUACCCAAUUUGCUCACCAUUUACAUGGAACACCAGAAAUUGAAUUAUUCAUACUCGAAUCGAAUCAUUGACAAUGUACUUGUCAAAGACGAUUCUUCGUUUCUUUUGCUGAUGUGAAAACAAAUGAAGGUGAACAUCAUUUUUAGAACACUUGAAUAUAAUUAUGUGCAUGGCCCUUAGAGUGCUAAUCGCUUCAGCAGCAGCUAGACUAAAUUAGUGAAGCAGGCAAUACAAAAGCAUCAAAAGCUAGUGACUAGAUACUACGACAACUAGUUUUGCUGAACAGACCCAAACCCGGACUUUAUUAAUCGCUACUUGUUAGUGGAACUACACAAUUUGAGACUUAAAAGAGGGGUACACAUACCUGUGAGAGCCAGUUAUCAGAUGGAUUUUUGUUGUUAUCAUCAGUGUACUUGAAUAAAUUGUGUGCCAGAAUGAUUGAAACAGCCAAGUUUCUUUCUUCUUCACUCAUUUUUUUUCUCUCCUUGUUUUCUGGAAGAGAAGUAAAUCUUAAUUUAAUUUGAAUUAUCUUGAUUCAGUUCUAUCUUUUUAUUUUUUGGGAGUAUAAAAUGUAGCUAGUAUUCUGCUCUCUCUACUAUUUGUUUUACAGUCUGUUACUUUAUUAUAAAAUUGUGUCAUGGAACACUCAAUGCUGUCAAGUCUUAGUCUUCCAUGUGGUUUACGGUGAUACACAACAUCUAGUUAUUUUGACAAA